AAAUGUACAACACAGGAGACAGAUGAAUUUCUCAUUCUUGUAGGCUACCAUUUCUUUUGGCUUAUUACAAAACAACAGGAUGCUGCAGCUUUAUCAAAGUCUACUUAUUUGUCCACUAAAAGUUUAUGGCUAUACGUUUCCAACUAGAACAUCUGAACACCAAUAUAUGGAAUUCUGACAAAGUUAAAACCAGGAAGAGAUCCUAUGAAGGCUGACAUUGAUUUGUACAUCCGUUUUAUAGAACAAGAAAAAUAAUAAGAACAAGAAUAAGAACAGCAACAACAUUUGCAGUGAGUCUGCUCUCUAUCAAUGAGUUAAAUUCUUUAACACACACAUACGCAUACACACACACACACACAAAAUGGGUUUGAUAUCAUUUGGUUAUUAAUCACAUGUAUAGAUAAGGAAACUAGAUUUAGAAAAGUGACAUAACAUGCCAAUGUCAUAGUAUUAUUGAAAAAAGAAAUUCAAUGAGAAUUGAUGUAUUUCUAUUUAUAAUUUAGGGCUAUUGUGCCAGCUUCAUACUAGAAACCACCAACUCUUAUCACACAGGAAAAAAAAAUCCAGUUUUACUUAAAGAAUAAGGAAAAGACAGAAUUAGCCACAAAAUCAAAUAUCCCCAUAUGCCUAGCUGAAAUCUCAUUAGUGUCACAAUCAUUUUAAAAAUUUAAAAUAAGACCACUCACCUGGAGGGAAAGAGCCAUAGCAUAUAUUUACUUGCCAUGAAAAAUGUUUUUCUUAUACAUAGUGCCUAAGAAGUAUGGGAUUUUAUUUCCUUUUUCACAGCUGGAAAGGCUUAGUAACCAAUUCACUUUUUGUAAUGUAAUAUCAUCUGGUUUUAGGCAGUGCCAGAAAAGAAAUGAAAAAACAAUUGAGCAAAAUAUAUGGCUUUAAAUGAAUGUAAACCAUGUGCAUGGGUUUCAUAUCAAAUUCUGAAAUGUUUUUUCAGUUUGAAUGUGAAACUAUCUAAUAAGGACAACAUUCUAGCUAGAGAUCAAUUAACUUAUUUGUGAUAUUGCUUUUAUUUAAAAGAGUAAGCAAAUAUGGACUGGGUGUCUAUUAUGUACUUGUUUCUAUGAUACCUUUCAUUUAUUUUAUAAUACUAGGACUAAUAACAAGGCUAUAGCAUCAUUUGAAGCAAGUAUCCUGACUUCUGUGGUAGUUGUCUUGAAGUCUUUUUCCUAACAUUUUAAGAGAAAACUGAGUUAGGAAGAUGUAUUCCAUCCAAAAUAUUUAAGCGAACUGACCUCUAUAAGAUGAUGGAUGCCAAUAAGCUAAUGGAUAAAUUCAUUCUCUUUUCAAAGAGACAAAAUCUUUUUAAAAACAUUUAUUACUAUUUUGGUGCAAUUAGAGAGGCAAAAGUCUAAUUACAAGUAAAACUAAGAACACCAGAGUGUUACGUGAAAUAGGUUGAUUAUAAUAAAGGUGUUCUGGAUAGUUAUAAAAGAGCUGCUGCUUUUGCUUCCAAAGCUCUAAAAUAUUUAAUAAAUUAGAAAGAAAACACAUUAGUUAAGUGUUAAUUUCACUCAAUUGUUUAUCCUUAAUUUCAAUUUCCAGGGGGAAAUUAUUACUUGGUUUACACAGCAGGAUUUUUUUUAACCAUACAGAACUUUCAGGAAAUUAUUUUAUACGAGUAACAUUUCGACUACUAGUGGAAGUUGGCAGGUUGAGGAUAGGAAUUUACCUCCUUCCCUCCCAAUAUCCUGUGGAAAUGAAGAAAAACUCAUUUUAAGGUGUGUGAAUCCAAAACAUAGUUCUGGAAAGCAAGAAAGAGUGCUAUUAAUUCAUUGCACUAAUUAUGAGGACUUUCCAGAGCAUAACACUGAUAUUGGAUUAAAGGAGCAACAGAGUAGGAACAGUGUAACCCAAAACAAACGCAAGAUCAUUGUAUUGGAGAGAGUCAUCCUUCCCAACUCUACUUUAGAGAAACUAAACUCUAAGUCAACAUUCACAAAGAACAGGGAAUGAUCCUAGGGACAUUUAAAGGCAGAACCUAUAGAAGGUUCUAUAAAGGCUUCCAUAAAGUCUAUAGAAGAAUUUAGCCUAAUGUAACUCCCCGUCCUGAUCACCGGCUAUACAGAUGAGUGAGAUAUUCUUUUGUCAACUGCUUUACUGACCUCUUCCCAUGGACGCAAGCUUUAUAUUAGAGUUCCACAGUGCUAGGCCACUGUCUAGACCACAGGAAACCUGGUCAACAACAUAUGGGAUGUCACCAGAUUCAGACUCAGAAGUUUCCAUAAUGCCGUGGCCAACAGCUAGACACAAGAGAGUACUCUAUCUGUGUUCUUGAGUGGAGAUGAUGAAGAUCAGAACUAUACCUGAGUUGUGAUGAACAUGGAAAGUGAUUUGAAGAGUUGCAGUUUUCUUGAAACCUGAGCCUGAGAAUUUGCUUAUGGAUUGUCUGUAAUGCCAGGAAAUGGAAUAGAGGACUGGGAAGAGUGAGAGAAGGAAGAGAAGCCAGGAGGAGAGUAUGUUACGAGCUGUGAAUAAUUGGGACUUGAUUCCACUGAGCUCCUUUGAAGUAUCUGAGAAUUUGACUGCAGAAUUGUGAACCUUAAAAUCACAGAAAAGAGAAUAUUUAUCUAUUGAACCUUCUCUUCAUCUUGCAUUGGUCAAGAGUUGUCCUACGGGAUAUUAAGACACUUGCACUUUCAAGUUUGCAGAAGUAUGGGAACGAAAGCAUCCAAAAAGCCCUGAGGCAGGAAGCAAGCUGAGACAAGGUGUUGGUGAUGAUGGUACACCUGGAUGAAGCUAACUUUAGCAGCAAUAGUUGCUGAAUGAAUUUUUCAUUUAAUCUAAGUUGCCACAUUCAUCAGCAUAAAAUUGUUAAUGAUAUUCUUUUAGAACUUGGAGGGUGGUAGGAGAGAGAGGAGCAGAAAAAAAUAACUAUUGGAUAUGAGCCUUAAUACCUGGGUUUUGACAUAAUCUGUACAACAAACCUCCAUGAAACAAGUUUACCUAUAUAACAAACCUUCACAUGCACCCCCAAAUCUAAAAUAAAAGUUGAAGCAAC